AAUAAAAAUAUAGCCGAAGAAUCAGUUUUAUACAAGAAUUUGAAAAAAUAAUAUAAGCUGACGUAUCCUGUAUAUUGUUUUAAUGUGGUAACACAUUUAUCUGGAUAGAACAUCUAUUUUUUCGUUUAUUACACAAAAUCUCUUCGGUCGCAUGUGGCAUGCUGUGAAUAUGUCUAAUUUUGCUAUUAUUUGAAAGUGGAACCGUUUCAGUUCUUCAGCGACACAGAGUAUGGAACAGCGUUUGGAACAACUUCCUUUAUUGGAGAGAGAGUUUAUAUUUAAAUUUAUUAUUUUCGUCGGAGGAUAAAUACCUGAGAAUAAGCAGAAUUUUCCUUCAAUUAUCCUUUUUACAGAAAUUCGAAUUCUUCUCUAGGAUUAGCACAGACCUUCCUUUUAACAAUCCGUUGAUGACGUUCCUCCUUGAAUGCAUGAGUGCAGGUUUGAAAUAAUUAGUUUCUUUAUUUUAACUUCGGCAUAGAUCAGUCCCUUAUUUACACAGUCGUUCGGAGAUACUAAAAUUCUUUUGUAGAGAUUGAGAUGACGGCUAUUGGAGAUUGUUAUAUCGUACUACGCUUGUAGAAAUAUUAAUUUCUACAAGUGUAUAAAUUUACGACUUUCUCGAUUUUUCUGGACCGACUUUUAUCUACGUCCUACGCUCUUCAAGAUUGGCGAUCGACUUCUAUGAAGAAAACUGAUCGACUUAUUCGGAGUUGGCGAUCGACUUCUCUCUUUGGUGAACGAGGACCGAUUGAUUUCGUCGAUCCGAAUCCCGAAACUCAUUCCCUUCCCACUGACAGAUUCAUAAAUCCUUUUCCGGAAGACGUUUUUCAGUUUCACUUUCACCUCAGUUACAUUCUUUUUUUCGAUUCCUAUCGGGCCACCUGCGUGUCAUAUGACGAUAUAAUGCUGUAUUUUGCC
rnacentral:lncRNA from 1 species